rnacentral:rRNA from 1 species
UACGUAGGGGGCUAGCGUUGUCCGGAAUCAUUGGGCGUAAAGCGCGUGUAGGCGGUCCGGUAAGUCCGCUGUGAAAGUCAAGGGCUCAACCCUUGAAUGCCGGUUGAUACUGUCGGGCUAGAGUCCGGAAGAGGCGAGUGGAAUUCCCGGUGUAGCGGUGAAAUGCGUAGAUAUUGGAAAGACCACCAAUGGCGAAGGCACUCUACUGGGCCAUUACUGACACUGAGAGACGAAAGCUAGGGGAGCAAAUGGG